CAGUCGCCGCGGUAAUACGUAGGGUGCAAGCGUUAAUCGGAAUUACUGGGCGUAAAGCGUGCGCAGGCGGUUGUGUAAGACAGGUGUGAAAUCCCCGGGCUUAACCUGGGAAUUGCAUUUGUGACUGCACGACUAGAGUGUGUCAGAGGGGGGUGGAAUUCCACGUGUAGCAGUGAAAUGCGUAGAUAUGUGGAGGAACACCAAUGGCGAAGGCAGCCCCCUGGGAUAACACUGACGCUCAUGCACGAAAGCGUGGGGAGCAAUCAGGAUUAGAUACCCGCGUAGUCCCUGUCUCUUAUAC
rnacentral:rRNA from 1 species